rnacentral:lncRNA from 1 species
CUGUUGCAGAUUUUUGGACCGCUGCUCUCUGAAGACGGAACCAUCGGGCCCACGCCAAAACCAAGUCUUUGUAGCAAAAGAGAUAAUGGUGACAUCGCAGCAGAGCCAGUACAUCAGGCAGCACCGAGACUGGUUUGUGAGUCGGGAAAAGCUGUAGAAACGUCAUCAGGGCCAGCGUGUGAGCCGGGCCGUGUCACCGAUAAAUCUGUUCAAGUGCGGCUACUAAUCCACCACGAAGCAUCACAAGCGGAUGAAAAGAAAAUUCUGUCAACAAGUGCUACACAAACAGAGCCUAAAGCCGUUUCUUCAGGUUCCUUGUCCUUUGCGUCCCCGGAGCAGUCUUCUUCUUUGGCGUCUGUUCGAGGUCGACUGCAUUCCUGCCAGCAGUGCACCUAUGUGACCCUGGACAAGUCAACGAUGAACAGACACCUUCAGAAACAUAUGGGCGAGCUCCCCUUUCAGUGCCACAUGUGCCCAGCUGCAUUCACUGCGGAGUCGAAGCUGGUGACUCACAUACGCACUCACACAGGAGAGCGCCCCUUUUCCUGUGUCCACUGCAGUGCAUGCUUUACGACAAAAUCCCACCUCGUGAGACACAUCCGCACGCACACAGGAGAGCGCCCCUUUUCCUGUGUGCACUGCAGUGCAACCUUUGUGCAGAAAUACCACCUCGUGAGGCACAUCCGCGGGCACACGGGAGAGCGUCCCAUUACCUGUGCCCACUGCAAUGCAUCGUUUGUGAUGCAAGCCGACCUCGUGCCGCACAUGCGCAUUCACACAGCACAACCCCUAUUCUCCUGUGUCCACUGCAAUGCAUCCUUUACGCAGAAAAAGAACCUCUUGAAACACGAAUGCAAGCACACAGGCAGAGCAAUGUUUUUCCUGUGUCCAAUGCAAUGCAUCGUUUGUGGCUAAACACAACCUCGUUCAGCACAUGCGCUCUCACACAGGAAAGCGUCCCUUCUCCUGUGUUCACUGCGAUGCAUCCUUUUCGCGCAAAGGGAGCCUCGUGACGCACAUACAGACUCACACAGAAGAGCGUCCCUUUUCCUGUGUCCAUUGCAAUGUAUCCUUUAAGCAGCAAAAGGUCCUCGACAGACACGUCCGCAUGCACACAGGAGAGCGAUGCUUUUCCUGUGUCGAAUGCAAUGCAUCGUUUGCGACUAAAUACAACCUCGUUCAACACAUGCGCUCUCACACAGGAGAGCGUCCCUUCUCCUGUGUUCACUGCGAUGCAUCCUUUUCGCGCAAAGGGAGCCUCGUGACGCACAUACAGACUCACACAGAAGAGCGUCCCUUUUCCUGUGUCCAUUGCAAUGCAUCCUUUAAGCAGAAAAAGGUCCUCGAGAGACACGUCCGCAGUCACACAGGAGAGCGUUGCUUUUCCUGUGUCCACUGCAGUGCAUCGUUUGCGACUAAAUAUAACCUCGUUCAGCACAUGCGCUCUCACACAGGAGAGCGUCCCUUCUCCUGUAUUCAUUGCGAUGCAUCCUUUUCGCGCAAAGGGAGCCUCGAGAGACACCUCCGCACUCACACGGGAGAGCGUCCCUUCUGUGCCCACUGCAAUGCAUCCUUUUCACGAAAACACAUCCUCAUAGGCCACAUUUCCCGCCAUCAUAAAAAUGAGAAGCCAUAAAUGUGACGGGCCUAUGGGCUUUUCUUAAACAAGAGGUGUGGCCGAGAGAGCAGAGUUUGUUCAAUAAAAGUCACUGUGAAAGUUUGGUUUCAAGGGACCCUAAAUGCAAAUUAAUAACAUUUUAUGUCAGAAUGAAAGGCCAAUUUUUGAGAACGUCUACGUCAGUGUUAGCAGCAGUGCUCUACUAGACGAGAAACUUAUGUAAGUAUAGCGCACAAUAUGCGCCACCAGUGGGACAUUUUGGAAUGAGCCCGAUGACGUCAAGAGUCCGGAAUACAGUAAUCACUAGUACUCAGACUACGUAUAAGGAAAAAUAACGUUCCGUGCUUUACGAAACGCACUUGAAUACUGCUUGUGCGUUACUAUUUGAGUCAUGAAAUAAAGAACCUAACAGCGAAGCUGUUGAGCAAAUCGUUCCUUAUGAGUCGAUCGCAGAAAGCUAUCAUCUAAAUGAGUGUACGCUACUGUGCGGCCUAUCAGAAAUGUCAUCAUCAUAAACGGUUAUGUGUAGCAGAAAUUGGGUAAGUACGGCUACUCGCCACCGGUCCACUAAAAAUGAAGAAGGCAGCCGUUAGCCCAAGAAAUUGCCGCGAUGCGAUGGCGGCGAGCCGAAGACCCCGAGUACUUACAACGAGGAAGUAGUAGGGAACGGGAAAAGCAACGGCGGCUGCGAGAAGACACCGAAGCGAUGGAAGGUCUGCGCCAACGACGACGCGCCCGUAGAUCUAUGAGAAGUGCGAACGCUUGCUUGCAGCGCGAGUUUCUGUCUCUGGAGUUUGGACAACCGUGUCGUGUCUUUUUCUGUCUAUGGUUUAACGCAACCUCUCUGCGCUGAGAAUCAACGUGGAUGCAGUCUAGCUAAAGCGUAGCAACAACCUAGGAGCAACCUAAUCAAACUCUGCAUCACCUUGCUAUGGCCUCGAAGCAACCAUAUUAGUCUUCAGAAUCGUACAGUUGCUGUUUGAAGCCUUGCGCGGUUUAUGCGAGCUUCGCCAAUUUUCUUUUUGGCGUUACCUUGGAAAACGGCGCGAAAGGUUGAAAUUGCUCAGUUUUCGCCGCCCGCUACGCUCACGCCGUCGCGUCUCAGUGAUAGUUUCCGCUUGCGCAGUCGCAUGUCAGGGUUAGUUUCAUUGUCGAAAAUUGCUGCGCUUGCCUUGCUGACUCGCGAGAUUCGAUCGAACAUCAACAACAACUUUACAUCACUUAUGUUAGAUCUAACCUUGAGUAUGCAUGCUCGAUAUGGUACCCUGGCCAUGUUACUAUGAUAAACAUAAUCGAAAAUGUGCAAAAUCGAGCGGCCCGUUUCAUCCUUAACAAUUGCCAUCGAACUGCUAGCGUCACUAAUAUGAAACUAACACUUGGCCUUCCUUUCCUUUCUUCUCGUAGGAAGUUAGCUCGUCUUUCCCUCUUUCACACGAUCUACUAUCGUAACCAUGAGCUCAAGUCCCGAUACAUCACACCAGCAUCUUGUAUAUCCCCACGUGUCGAUCAUCCUUGCAAAGUUCAUGUACCUUCACAGCGCACAGUCACCUACUCAUAUUCAUUCUUGCC